rnacentral:lncRNA from 1 species
GUAGAUAACCCGUCAGACGGUUGUUAGUUGGGAACUUGGAAGGAAAAUGAAGAAGCCAAAUCGAAGCAGCAGAAAAUGAAUUGUACGGCCUUCAAAUUCAAUCCCACCACUCCGUUUGUCAUGGACAAGCAUGCUCAGUUUAUAUCAGCGACAUGAAUCCGAAACCCGCACUGGAAUGUCUAUAGUUUCGUUGGUUCCAUUUGUGAUAAAAACCUGUAAAUUUUGUAGGGCCCAUUUAUGUGCCACAUCAACACUUAACAAAAAUUUUAACAGAAUUGUGACGGAAUGACCAUAUUGAUUUGUGACACCUAUUUUAAGGGAUUACAUUAAUUGAUUUUCAAUUUCAAGACCAUCUUGAUGGUCAUGGUCAAUUUUAGGGACCAUUUGUGAUAAAAACCCUUAAUUUUUUUUAUUUUUGAGUAGUCCAUAUAGGUGAUAGAAAGGGCCUGCGAUGCCAUGUAAGCAGAUAACAAGGAUACCAACAAAAGAUUGUAACUUUGACAGACUACAACAUUAUAAUGAAAUUGAAAUCCUAAUUUUUUUUUACAUGACAUUGCAAUAAGAUAUUGUAUGAAGUUGUGAUUUGACACAAAUUUGAUACCGCAAAAACUAUAAUUUACCCUUGGAAUUUCAUUGACCCUUGAAUUGUACUAGAUUGUAGCCACGCGUGUGUUCAGAAUUCGAACUUGGAAGUGUGACAAGAACAAAGUUUAAAAUUUAUUCGAUACGAUUGAUUUUCCAUGGAAAUAUCAAAAAAAAAAAAUUAGAGAAAGUAUGGAAAAUGGGUGGUGAGGUAUAAACUUUACCUCAUAUCGGAGAAACUCUUAAGUUUAAGUUAAAAUCGACAGAUAUUAUCGAUAUUUCUGACAUAUUGUUAAAUAUCGGAGAAACUCUUAUAUUUUUUUUUCCAAACCAAUGUUUAACAAUCUCUAUAAUUUUGUUCUAAAUUCCAUCAUUUAUAUCGAAUACAACUGAUAUUGAUAUCAAUAUUUCUACAAAUUAGCAUAUCAUCGAUAUUUCCAUAAAAACCGAUAUUUUAAAUACUGAACUGGAGAUAGGCCUACCAUCGUGCGGUUAGAAUUAGUUUAAUCACAGUAGAUAACCCGUUAGACGGUUGUUAUUGGGAACUUGGAAGGAAAACAAAGAAGCCAAAUCGAAGCAGCAGAAAAUGAAUUGUACGGCCUUCAAAUUCAAUCCCACCACUCCGUUUGUCCUGGACAAGCACGCUCAGUUUAUAUCAGCGACAUGAAUCCGAAACCUGCAACGGAAUGUCUAUAGUUCCGUUGGUUCCAUUUGUGAUAAAAACCUGUAAAUCUUGUAGGGCCCAUUUAUGUGUCACAUCAACACUUAACAAAAUUUUUAACAGAAUUGUGAUGGAAGUACCAUAUUGAUUUGCGACACCUAUUUUAAGGGAUUACAUUAAUUGAUUUUCAAUUUCAAGACCAUCUUGAUGGUCAUGGUCAAUUUUAGGGACCAUUUGUGAUAAAAACCCUUAAUUUUUUUAUUUUUGAGAAGUCUAAAUGGGUGAUAGAAAGGGCCUGCGAUGCCACGUAAGCAGAUAACAAGGAUACUAAAAAGAUUGUAACUUUGACAGACUACAACAUUAUAAUGAAAUUGAAAUCCUAAAUUUUUUUUUUACAUGACAUUGCAAUAAGAUAUUGGAUGAAGUUGUGAUUUGACACAAAUUUGAUACCGCAAAAACUAUAAUUUACCCUUGGAAUUUCAUUGACCCUUGAAUUGUACUAGAUUGUAGCCACGCGUGUGUUCAGAAUUCGAACUUGGAAGUGUGACAAGAACAGAGUUUAAAAUUUAUUCGAUACGAUUGAUUUUCCAUGGAAAUAUAAAAUAAAAAAAAAUUAGAGAAAGUAUGGAAAAUGGGUGGUGAGGUUUAAACUUCAUCUCAUAUCGGAGACACUCUUAAGUUUAAGCUAAAAUCGACAGAUAUUAUCGAUAUUUCUGACACAUUGUUAAAUAUCGGAGAAACUCUUAUAUUUUUUUUUCCAAACCAAUGUUUGACAAUCUCUAUAAUUUUGUUCUAAAUUCCAUCAUUUAUAUCAAAGACAACUGAUAUUGAUAUUAAUAUUUCUACAAAUUAGCAUAUCAUCGAUAUUUCCACAAAAACCGAUAUUUUAAACACUGAACCGGAGAUAGGCCUACCAUCGUGCGGUUAGAAUAAGUUUAAUCGUAGUAGAUAACCCGUCAGACGGUUGUUAGUUGGGAACUUGGAAGGAAAACGAAGAAGCCAAAUCGAAGCAGCAGAAAAUGAAUUGUACGGCCUUCAAAUUCAAUCCCACCACUCCGUUUGUCCGGGACAAGCACGCUCAGUUUAUACCAGCGACACGAAUCCGAAACCCGCACCGGAAUGUCUAUAGUUCCGUUGGUUUCAGUUUUACCAGGAAGAAACUGAAACGAUGCCGCCACUUUGCUCCUCCAAACGCCACCCCCUUGGUGGAAUUGGAGCUCCCGCUCCUUCCCUUUCCCUUGAACGAGGUU